rnacentral:rRNA from 1 species
ACAGAGGGUGCGAGCGUUGUCCGGAAUCACUGGGCGUAAAGGGCGCGUAGGCGGGCGAUCAAGCGUGCGGUGAAAGCUCGGGGCUCAACUCCGAGUCGGCCGUGCGAACUGGUUGUCUAGAGUCUGGUAGAGGUCGAUGGAAUUCCGGGUGUAGCGGUGGAAUGCGUAGAGAUCCGGAAGAACACCGGUGGCGAAGGCGGUCGACUGGGCCAGAACUGACGCUGAUGCGCGACAGCGUGGGGAGCAAACAGGA